AACAACGGUUCAUGGUUCACGCGAAGCAGCCGACGACUGAGAGAAGAGAGAGAGGGGCACCACGAAUUGGUCUGCUCACCUGCGGAUCAUGGCCGUCGCCGAGACCGCAAACGGCGUUGAUCUAGCCGCCGUCGAUCUCGACGGAAAGGAAGCGCCCGACUCCAAUAAGUUCACGGAUCUCGCUUCCGACGCCACAGUCCUCGCCGUCAGCGAUUCUCUCCCCUUCCUCCGCCCUCACGUCGACCCUAAUGGCUUCCUCUUCGAGGAUCAGCAGCUGCACCGCGACUCCGAUCAAGGGCGGCCCGCGGUGGCGCAGCGAUCCCAGGGAGCGGAGCAGGAGAUGAGGGAUCUGGAGGAGCUCCUGUCGAAGUUGAAUCCGAUGGCGGAGGAGUUCGUUCCGCCGUCGAUUACCGGCGGCGGAGUGCCAGCGCCACCCUAUAGAGGCUUCGGCGUCGGGUUUGGUGGUGGGUUCUAUGGGGUUGGAUUUGGGGCGAGCCCUGCUUUGGGGAAUGGCGGCUUCGAUGGAGGCGGUGGAUGGAGGAAGAAGAACGAAUACGGUCAGGGGAAGCGUCGGAUGAAUAACCGGACUAGUCAAGCACAGAGAGAUGAGGUGAUCAGAAGGACUGUCUACGUUGCAGAUAUAGAUCAACAGGUUACUGAAGAAGAGCUUGCAACACUUUUCAACAGCUGUGGACUUGUUGUUGACUGUCGAAUGUGUGGCGACCCAAAAACUAUUCUUCGUUUUGCUUUCAUUGAGUUCAAUGAUGAAGAGGGUGCAAAAGCUGCUUUAAAUCUGUCAGGAACCAUGCUUGGGCUUUACCCUCUAAGGGUUCUUCCUUCAAAGACUGCAAUUGCGCCUGUGAAUCCUACAUUUUUGCCACGGUCGGAUGAUGAACGUGAGAUGUGCUCAAGGACUGUAUACUGCACAAAUAUUGACAAGAAGGUAUCUCAAGCUGAACUUAGACUCUUCUUUGAGUCCAUAUGUGGAGAGGUUUACCGGUUAAGGCUUCUCGGAGAUAAUCAUCAUUCUACUCGGAUUGCUUUUGUUGAGUUUGUAAGGGCUGAGAGUGCAACUGCUGCACUGCACUGUAGUGGGGUUGUCUUAGGAUCCUUGCCAAUCAGGCUAAGCCCUUCCAAGACUCCUGUGCGCCCUCGCUCUUCUCGCCCUCCCAUCCAUUGAAUCUUUGUAGGUUGAAGAAGUGUUCCAUAGCUAUACUACAAGAUAUGCAUAUACACAAUUUAUUAUACAUUCUGGCUCUAAAGUUAUAUUUCUUCCGAUGAAGAGAUACUUAUUGCACAUAGAUCUUUGAAAUAUGAUAUCGUCAUGUUGAAAAAUCUCACAUGGCAAUUUGGAGACUGAGAUGUCUGUUUGGACACUGCUUUUCAGAAGUCGUCGAAACUUUGCUAUCUAGUCUUGAUUUUGAGUUCUGCUCUAUUGAUAGAAGUCUAUUGCAACAAAACCUUCAAUGUGGAUCCUUGUGGAUCCCAAGCUGAAUAGCCAAUAAAAAAAAACAGAGGAUUGUAUUAAGCUUUGAUAUUUUAAUAAAUGUGAUUUAGUUAUUUCAA